rnacentral:rRNA from 1 species
GACAGAGGGUGCAAACGUUGCUCGGAAUUACUGGGCGUAAAGGGCGUGUAGGCGGGAAGGCAAGUCGGGCGUGAAAUCCCCAGGCUCAACCUGGGAACUGCACUCGAAACUGCCUUUCUUGAGUGUCGGAGAGGAAAGCGGAAUUCCUGGUGUAGAGGUGAAAUUCGUAGAUAUCGAGAGGAACACCGGUGGCGAAGGCGGCUUCCUGGACAGUUACUGACGCUGAGACGCGAAAGCGUGGGGAGCAAACAGG